UACGUAGGCAGCAAGCGUUGUCCGGAAUUAUUGGGCGUAAAGAGCUCGUAGGCGGUCUGUCGCGUCGGCUGUGAAAACCCGGGGCUCAACCCCGGGCCUGCAGUCGAUACGGGCAGACUAGAGUGCGGUAGGGGAGACUGGAAUUCCUGGUGUAGCGGUGAAAUGCGCAGAUAUCAGGAGGAACACCGGUGGCGAAGGCGGGUCUCUGGGCCGUAACUGACGCUGAGGAGCGAAAGCGUGGGGAGCGAACAGG
rnacentral:rRNA from 1 species